UCGUCGGAUGAUCGAGGAACUAUUAAACUAACGAUCGAGGAGAACGGGUGAUAAAGUCAUUGUAAGUUUCGCAAGACCUCACGUUCGUUUCCUACUAUUUUUGUAUGCAACAUAAAACAAAAGGGGAUUGAUGCUAGCGAGAAUGAUAGAAAGAGAGAGAGAGAGAGAGCGAGAGCGAGAGAGUGAAGAAAUUCGCGUGCGAGAAGCAUGUAAGGGAGCGAGGAAGAUGGAGAACGAGCAGCACGCGUUUUAUUAGAAGAGGAAAAGAAGAGGAGAGGAAGUUUUCGACGCUUUUCAUUGAAAGUUCGCAUCUUCCUGAUCACCUUCCGUUGACUGCACCGCCAACGUCGAUGACGCUCGUUAAGCGUUUACUAUUUAAGUUCGAACAAAUUUUGCUUGGUCCUUCGCACACGUUUCGCCGUUAAAUCGCUUGGUGUUCGCGUUUCUGACUAGCCUAGACGACAUAUUCAUUUUCCCCCCCCUUGUAAUCGUGAUCGACUGACUUUGCGGGAAGCCGGGGAACGUUCGAGCAGCUUAUCGUUCCCCGCGCUUCCCGUGGUAUUUGGACUGUUCUCGCAGAGCGAGCAAACGAGAAUCGGGGAUCAGUGACUGUCGGUCGUCGUUGUCUCAAAUUCCUUUGUUUCUGUUCGAAAAACUGUGCGGGACGCAGAAAACAGAUCGCGAUCCGUCACUGAUCUCUCCGGGGACUGUCGAUGGGUGAAAUUUGAUCCUUUUUAGAAAUAAAAUCGACAUGCCAAGCAUCACAGAUGAUCGAACAACUUGCAUAGAUAUUACUCUCUCACUUAGAACAUUUUCGAUUUCAUUCGUUUCUUUUUUUUUCCUUUUUGUUGUCGUUGUCGUUGUUGUUAGUUCUAAUCGAAACAUCCUCUUGUUUUUGUGAUUGGAGUUCCGGUGUUCGAUGAACGAGCAAUGCGCGUAAGUGGUUCAAUGUCUUUUGUUCGUUAUUCGAAGAGCUGUCUUUCACGUGAAAAUUUUGCCCAUCUCUGCAUCAGACGUGUUUUAGCUGGCGUGAAACUCGACGUUUCGUUGUUGAAGAGUGAAGUAUCCUGCCACGAUUUCGCCCUCAGUGAACAUGUUUAAGGCUGGAUGUCCUUGAACCGAUGUGACGCCAGAUGCGAGUCCCGAGCAGCUUACAGUUUCAUUUUUCUCGCGGAUCAUGCCCGAUCGUUUGCUCUUCGUUUCUGCAUGGUCUCAGCCAUCUUCCUAACAACUCUGAAACUGCUGAUGCUUAACAAUUCUCACUAGCAAAGGUCAUUCCCUGCGUUCUCUGCGAUAAGUGUAGACAGGUAACUGCCAUGUAGCUCCACUUUUAGGAUGCUCGAGAGAUCAUUCAUCUAUCAACCUCGUUCCCAGUCUUGAUCACAGGUCAUAAUUUUUCACCUCCACCUUUUGUUUGUUCCUUUUCACCUCCACGUCACAUACCUCUGCUCCCUGACCGAUGUUCAACUCUGCGGCUACCUCCUCGUCGGUCUUGAGAACUCCGUCCACAGACUUGGUUUACUCGGAACGAAUGUAUUUUUCAUCGAUAGUUAGUUUUCCUUCCUCCAUUUAACCGUGCAGCCACUACUCGACGAAAGGGACAAUCUGAAGCACUUGCCACUCAGUUAUCAUAAAGUUAGAAGUCUUAUCACCAGGUAACAUUGUUCUCGGACACACUUUCUCGGUAGCUUAGAUCCGUUCGGUUUGGACUGAGCGUAUGCGGUCUGAGCUCGCGACUCGUACUCUUAAUUAUCAAGACACAAAGGGAAAGGAACGGAACAACAAACUUAUACUUGUUUGGGGUAUAAGCAACAGGGAGAAUGUUCACAGACAUGUUCACUGAUCGUUUGCGGGCCGAAUGUUGAGAUUGAUGUUAACUCUUUGAGGCCCAGGUUUGGCAGAUACUCGAACCAGUUGGAUGUACGUUGAACAAGGAAUUGUAUAAUUUUUGUGCGUUGAUUAGCGAGAGGAAGCUUUCUGCGACAUUGUACACUGAUGAUCCAUCAGGAAUGGAGCUUCAUUUCCCAGAGGAGACGAUUCAUUCGAAGGUAUAUUCUGAGUAAUGUCAUGGGUAACGAACUGUAAUUAUAGUCCUCUUCCCAAUGUUCUUAAUUGGUUCAAGGGAAACGAAUGGUCUCUGAAAAGAGGUUGUUUUCACAUCUGAAUUAUCCUCUCAUAUCAUUUCAAUUCUUUCAGUUGAAUUUUAAUGGCGGAGUUCCGUUCCCAGUGGAUCAUGUUGUAGGAUAUAAAAAAAAAAUGGUACAAAAGUAGUUGCGGGGAUGGUGAAGCAGUAUGAUCCUCAAAGAGUUACACGGAGGAGAUAAGUUGGAUGGAAUGAAUGGGUGGGAGAGCGUGUGUGCGUGGGAAGGGAAGAAAAACACCAUGGAGAACCACGACGAAUCGAAGAGGAUUCGUAUGCAAACGCAUCGCGAAGGUGACCGAGAAGGUGAAAGCGAGAUUAGGAAUCGUAUGAUGGAAACAAAGAGCUAUACUACCAACCCAAAGAUGCACAACAUCAUAGAGAGCCGGACAAUUUGAUAGAACUCAUGUCAGUCUAAUUAUAUUUCUUGUUAUAUUAUAUACAUAUAUAUAUAUAUAUAUAAUAUUUUCCAAAAACGAAUUAUAUAUAAUUCAAUAAAAAAAAGACACUCUCGUUUGAUACUCCGCGAGACCAUUAAAUUAUUUCCGCGGUCCAUUAUAUUUUUUAUACAUUAUUUAUAUAUAUAUAUUAUUUAUAAUUUUAUCAUUUCACAUUUUUGCCCCUGAAGUAUUCUUUCCCUUCCAACGUCUCUCAUUUUGUACAAUCGAAUCUCCCGCUCAUUUCAACCGUCAAGGUUCAGUGCCGUACACCCAAGAAUACUCGCAAGUGACUUACAAUUUAUUCGAACGUAUUCAAUCUUCAUAAAUAUUCAAAAAGAUUUACAAAUAUUUAGAUUGAUGACGUUUCUUUUAACACUAAAAUACAAACACUGAUAAUCGAAAUGUUUAGUGAAAGAAAAAAAAAGGUGUAAUUUGAAAUCGUGGAAAAUGUGGUUUCUAUUAGGAGCCAGGUAUUGACGACGCGUCGUACAGCCCUGAGCGACAGCAGCACCUCUAGCGGUCAGCCAUUCGAAAUAUUCAUUUGCAACGGUUUCUGUUUCAACCGUGGAGGGACGCUCGGAUUGUUCCUCAGAAAAUCAAGGGGAAAAUGGGUUUAAACGAUGCCUCGACCGUUUUGAAUGGUGUUACAUGAACAUGCGAUCGAAGAAUUAUGAGAAGACCUGAUGCAGUAGUCUGUUAUACUAUGUGCAGACCAGGUAUGGCCAACUUCUGUGUAUGACUUUUUCUCUUAAAAAUGAUGCACUUUGAAAUCUCGACGUUCAACGCAUUGAAACUUGUGUGUUGUGUACCGAUAAGAGGAAAUGAAGGUGUUAACAUGACAUUUUAUUGACUGUGAACCAAAAAUCGCUUUGCGGCCUGUUAGCUAUUCGUAUGUAGACUAGAUUAUUUACAAACUGGACUACCUUUUACUUCUUAU